GGGGGUGACCUGGCUUCGACGUGGGUAGCAAAACCUUAGGUGCAUGUCGAGCUUUCAGGAAUCUCGUAAAACAUCUGAAAAAAUAUAGUUGCAAACGACGACAACUACGCAAUCGCUGCCUAAACACCAGUAAAUUGCUGUCUGACUGGAGCCGUGCUUAUGCGUCCAGAGACCUUCGGGUCAUUCAGGCAUCAUAGCUCAUAAGAUCGUAUUGAAGCUUGUUCGGGGCGGAUAUACUAAAACUUAACCGGAAUCGUCUUUGGUCUUCCUAGCCUAUCGGGUAGCCACUGAUUAAACUAAAAGUUAUAGGAUAAACAUGUAGAGCCGAGGGCGGAGUACUUGCGGACGCGGGUUCAAUUCCCGCCACCUCCACCA
rnacentral:tmRNA from 1 species